ACGGGCCUUACAGAGCGCCCUCACGGUUUCCCCUAUGACCAUGCUCUGCGCUCUGCGUCACCUCCGUGCCACAGCCAGAACUACUGCAGGCGGAAGCAGUGGGAGAUUGACACCGCCCCCACCCCCUCCCUUCCAGUCAGCAACGCGGUGGCUACGUGACGCACAGAAUCACUCAGCACAGAAGGCAGACGUGGGAGCUGGAAAAUGGCCGCCUGGCCUGGGAGCUCAGCUGCCCCAGGGAGCCAUCGCUGGAGCCAAAGACAAGCCCUACUGUAGCAGAAGUGAUUUCAACCAGACUCCACAUGGAUGAGACCCUGCAGAGCUCAGUCCCUCCUUGCAGAAGACAUUGUCGUAGAGGACCUAAUGAUCUUGAACAGCUGGGAGCAACUGGAAACACCACCACACUGGCCAGACCAUCUGCCCGGAGAACCUACAAACAGGAUCAACAGCAUCUAGUGAUGUAGCCAUCAACUGUGGCAUAACCAGGCUCACUUGAAAGAGAAAGCACAAAAUAAUUAGGUCUGCCUAUGAGAAGUACUCAUUACAAGAUUCUACACAGGAAAGAUACACUGGCCACCUGUGUUAAAGGGAUGGAAGACAAUGGUGGAUGAGGCUGAAAGAGAUGUCUUGAUUCUAUGAUUCUAUGAUUUGCUGAAAAACCAAGGCCUUUUACCAAGUUCCAUCACUAAAGUGUCACUGCAAAUUAUAUAGCUCAUGGUGUUGAAUCAGGCAAAGGGCCAAAUUGCAGAGACUGGGGGGAUCCCAAUUUUGGACAUCAUUAAGCUCCAGAUAUGACUAUACUCAGGGCUUUGAUCAGAACUUCUCCUUAGUGAAACCUUGCUUCCAGAGUCAGACUCCAGCUUCCCAGGUUCUUUCAG